AGUCGGAACAGCUGGCCGCCGCAGUGCGCUCCCAGGCGUCGAAGCUAGUCAAACACCAGCAGCAGGUAGAUGCCCUGGGAGUUGAUGUCCAUGAGAUCUGGAAAGCACAAGAAGACUUCAGAGCGGCGGUGGCCGCCCAGGGUGAUGAAAGGACAAAACAGAUUCAGACCAAUGGUCUUGCAAAACACGAUGGUCCUGGACUUGAUGUCUGCAGCACAAGGUGGUGUACGCCAGGGGUCCCCAACCCCCGGUCCGCGAACCGGUACCGGUCAGUGGGUCACUUGGUACCAGGCCGCCUAGCCGCACAGAAUUCUUUUUUUAAAUAUAUUUUUUUAUCGACGAUCAAUUCAUUCAGGUCAAGACGCUCGUCCCGGUCACGUGACAUGUUUCCCCAGUCGAGCUUGCAAAGCAGGGCUGUGGACUCGAUCGGAUUUUUGCACCGAGUCCAAGUCCGGCCUCUUGACCACGAGUCCGAGUCCGGCUGUCCAUUUUUUCUGUUAAUUCAUGUGACUGCUUAGUCUUUAUUCCAGGCUAAUUUAGAUCAAAAUCUAAAUAAUUACAACAGUUUUGUGAUGGCUUUGUCUUUAUUAAACAUAUAAACUAAUACAAUAAACAGAUACUUUCAAGUUUUAAUCAUUAAUUACACCAUUAUAGCUCAGACAUUUAUCUAAACACAAAUAAUUAGUGACGACCCCACAACUAUCGAAACACAUCAAUGAUAUAAGCUGGGUGACAUAAUCGUCCUUGACAUUGGUACGUAAUGUAAACAUUAGCCUAAGUGCAACUCAACGUGGCCGCAUUGCUCGUAAUUUACGCUCCGUUUCCCCCCCAAAUCUAGAGGCAAAACAUUGUUCUCUCGCUGCUCCCGGGUUCUUCCAUCUUGGCUGCGCGCGGGGCACUGUGGGUCUUGUACGUGCACGCACGCACGCAGGCUGGCAGGCGCGGGCGCGGACGCAACAACUAAAUUUGUCUUCAUAACAAGCAAGCAGGGCUGUGGACAGUAUUCCUACGCGCAUUCUCAGCAGCAUGAUGAAAAUAAAAUUGAACGUAUUUUUUUUAUUGGUGGACUCGGUCAAAAUCAGCACCGAGUCCGAGUCCGGCAAAAAUGACCGAAUCCGACGAGUCAGAGUCCCCGAGUCAGAGUCCACAGCCUUGCUGCAAAUCUAGCAAAAAUGAGUAAAAAUUUAUUUUGAAAAAUAAUUAAAAAUUUGGGAUUCUUUCUCAAUUACAUCUGUCGGUUCAGGUCAAGACGCUCGUCUCGGUCACAUGACAUGUAACCUCAGUCGAGCCCGCGAAGCAAGCAAAUAUGAGGAAGAAACAGAGAUGUUUAGAAAGCUUCUUCAGAAAGGGAAAAAAGGCCAGAGGAGACGGAAGAAGAGGCUACAAAUUCUAAGAAAAGGAAAGCUGCAUUUAAAAGAAAAUUCCUGGAGUCCUACUUAAAAAAUGAAUUAAUCGCCACAGGCGACUCUGACGCGUCAAGCCCACUCUGCAUAAUAUGUGGCGACAGGCUAGCUAACGAGGCAAUGAAGCCUUCAAAACUGCUUCGGCACAUGGAGACCAAGCAUCCUGCAUUAAGAGACAAACCUUAACCACUUCGGGUGUCAUUGUCUCCGAUUACGCCUAGAUGGGACCGGCUCGUUUCUGAGAAACAAGCUCAGUGCUCCCACUAAUUUAACGUAAUGGUGAGUUUUAUCUUUGUCAUUUAAACUUGUUUUUAUGCGAGUCGUAUCAUUGUAUUUCAUCGUAUUUAUAUAUUUAUUAUAAAUGUAUUUAUUUAUAUAACUGUAUUAUUUAUUUAUAGAAAGGCAGGUUCGCAAAAUUAUUUCUGACAUGUAACCA